UACGUAGGCAGCAAGCGUUGUUCGGAGUUACUGGGCGUAAAGCGAGUGUAGGCGGUCUGCAAAGUCAGGUGUGAAAGCCCCGGGCUCAACCCGGGAAGUGCACUUGAAACUGCCAGGCUAGAGUAUCGGAGAGGUUGGUGGAAUUCUCGGUGUAGAGGUGAAAUUCGUAGAUAUCGAGAGGAACACCGGCGGCGAAGGCGGCCAACUGGACGAAUACUGACGCUGAGACUCGAAAGCGUGGGGAGCAAACAGG
rnacentral:rRNA from 1 species